UACGAAGGGACCUAGCGUAGUUCGGAAUUACUGGGCUUAAAGAGCUCGUAGGUGGUUGAAAAAGUUGAUGGUGAAAUCCCAAGGCUUAACCUUGGAACUGCCAUCAAAACUUUUCAGCUAGAGUGUGAUAGAGGUAAGUGGAAUUUCUAGUGUAGAGGUGAAAUUCGUAGAUAUUAGAAAGAACACCAAAUGCGAAGGCAACUUACUGGGUCACUACUGACACUGAGGAGCGAAAGCAUGGGUAGCGAAGAGG
rnacentral:rRNA from 1 species